UAUUCCCGAUCUGCCAUGUAUUUGAGAAAGGCUAUGUGUAAGAGGAAAUACUCAGCAGCUAAAUCCAAGAUUGAAAAGAAAAAGAAGGCGAAGGUCUUGCCACGGUUACAAAACCAGUUGGUGGGGACAAGAGUGGUGGUACUCGGGUGGUUAAACUUCGCAAAAUGCCUAGAUACUAUCCCACUGAAGAUGUGCCUCGAAAGCUAUUGAGCCAGGGCAAAAAACCAUUCAGUCAGCAUGUGAGAAAACCGCGAUCUAGCAUCACACCCGGGACCAUUCUAAUUAUCCUCACUGGACGCCACAGAGGCAAGAGAGUGGUUUUCCUAAAGCAACUGGGCAGUGGCUUGCUACUUGUGACUGGACCUCUGUCCCUCAAUAGAGCUCCUCUACGAAGGACACACCAGAAAUUUGUCAUCGCCACCACCACAAAAAUUGACAUCAGUAAUGUUAAAAUCCCGAAGCAUCUUACUGAUGCUUAUUUCAAGAAGCAGCAGCUCCGGAAGCCCAGACACCAGCAAGGUGAGAUCUUCACCACAGAAAAAGAGAAAUUUGAGAUAACAGAACAGCGCAAGGUCGAUCAAAAAGCUGGACUCGCAAAUUUGACCGAAGAUCAAGGCUAUUCCUCAGCUCCAGGGCUACCUGCAAUGCGUGUUUGCCCUGACAAAUGGAGCUUACCCUCAUAAAAUGGUGUUUUAA